rnacentral:rRNA from 1 species
CCUACGGGGUGCAGCAGUGAGGAAUAUUGGUCAAUGGGCGCAAGCCUGAACCAGCCAAGUCGCGUGAGGGAUGACGGUCCUAUGGAUUGUAAACCUCUUUUGUCGGGGAGCAAGGCCCGCCACGUGUGGCGGGAAGGAGAGUACCCGAAGCAAAAGCAUCGGCUAACUCCGUGCCAGCAGCCGCGGUAAUACGGAGGAUGCGAGCGUUAUCCGGAUUUAUUGGGUUUAAAGGGUGCGUAGGCGGAAGGUUAAGUCAGCGGUCAAAUGUCGGUGCUCAACACCGGCCUGCCGUUGAAACUGGUCUUCUUGAGUGAAGUAGAGGCAGGCGGAAUUCCUAGUGUAGCGGUGAAAUGCGUAGAUAUUAGGAGGAACACCAGUGGCGAAGGCGGCCUGCUGGGCUUUUACUGACGCUGAGGCUCGAAAGUGUGGGGAGCAAACAGGAUUAGAUACCCUUGUAGUC